rnacentral:rRNA from 1 species
UGGGGAAUCUUGGACAAUGGGGGAAACCCUGAUCCAGCCAUGCCGCGUGAGCGAUGACGGCCUUAGGGUUGUAAAGCUCUUUCACCGGUGACGAUAAUGACGGUAACCGGAGAAGAAGCCCCGGCUAUCUCCGAGCCAGCAGCGGCGGUAAUACGGAGGGGGCUAGCCUUGUUCGGAAUUACUGGGCGUAAAGCGCACGUAGGCGGAUGUCUCAGUCGGGGGUGAAAUCCCGGGGCUCAACCCCGGAACUGCCUUCGAUACUGGACGUCUAGAGGUCGAGAGAGGCGAGUGGAAUGUCGAGUGUAGAGGUGAAAUUCGUAGAUAUUCGUCGGAACACCAGUGGCGAAGGCGGCUCGCUGGCUCGAUACUGACGCUGAGGUGCGAAAGCGUGGGGAGCAAACAGGAUUAGAUACCCGUGUAGUCC